rnacentral:tRNA from 1 species
GGGCGGUUAGCUCAGUUGGUUCAGAGCGCCUGGUUUACACCCAGGAGGUCACAGGUUCGAAUCCUGUACCGCCCACUA